GAGGUCCUUUAUUUUUUUUUUUUAACACCUAUUAUGCCAUGAAUUCAUAGGGAAUAGGUUCCAGCAGCUCAGGCUCCUUCCCAUUGGUUCUCACAAAGUGUGCUUCUCUGGGUGGAGUAGGCUGGCGCUUUAGUUGAACCCAGGUACCUUUCUCUUUGGCUUCUUUCUUUUUCUGAUCAUUUUCCUUCACACGUUUCAGGAAGCUAUCUCGGCUCUUAGAGUGCUUAAUGUGCUCAAUACGCACAUUAAUUCUCUUGGCAAGAAUCUUGCCCUUAACUUGUUUGUUUACAACAAUGCCAACAGCAUGCUGGGUAACAUUGUAGACUCUUCCAGUUUUGCCAUGGUAACACUUGUGGGGCAUUCCUUUUUGAACAGUACCCAUUCCCUUGAUGUCUACAAUAUCACCUUUCUUAUAGAUUCGCAUAUAUGUGGCCAAAGGAACAACUCCAUGUUUUCUAAAAGGCCUAGAGAACAUAUAUCGGGUGCCUCUCCUCUUUCCCUUUGUGUUCGUCAUUUUGGCGAAUUACUGGAAGAUGGCGGUUCCGGCCGAAAGGGCAAGAUGCAUAUUGGAUAUCUAAAUAGAGAUAUCAAGAAAUGAAGAUAUGCAUUUCCAGUUCCAGAGAGAAAUUCACACUGGAAAUAUAAAUUUAGGAAUUUUAAAGUUAGUGGUCACAUUUAAAGCUGCAGAAUACAAAGAGAUCACCUGUGUGAGAGAACUGAGUCCUGAAACAUACCCGUGUUUAAAGAUCUGGGAGGUGCAGAGGAAUUAUCAAAGGAGGCUGAGAAGGAGCAGCCAGUGAGGUGUGUAGAAAAACAAGAUAAGCAAAAAGAAAAGCAAGAGAUAUGGAACUGAACUUCCCUUUGGCAAAAAAUUUAGAAAAUGAUAAUGAGGAACAUCGAUUUCAGCAUACCUUAAACCUUUUGAACAGACUUGUCGAUACUCUCUUGGAAAAGUAUUUUUAAAAAUAGAAUUGAAUAUUUUUAAACUUUCAUCCCAAUAGAAAGCUAAAGUUAAUGAGGAAACUUGGAUUCAUUUCACAAAACGUUGCUUACUCCGCUUUCUGUCUCUCUGAAGAUAACGUUAAGCUGCAGCUCCGUAUCUGUGAAAACCCAUUUCACAGCAUCUGCAUCCCUGGAUUGCUAAAUACCCUUGUCUAGUUACCCAAAUAUUAAUGGAUCCCAUGGAAUAAGGUGGCAUGAUUUAGGCACAAGCAAUUACCAAAGGAUUUUGAAAAGCAGUAACUCCAAAUUAUCUUGUAAAGUUGAGAAUAAUCUGAGAAGAGCUAUUGUAAGACUGGG
rnacentral:lncRNA from 1 species